GAUGAACGCUGGCGGCGUGCCUAAUACAUGCAAGUCGAGCGAACAGACGAGGAGCUUGCUCCUCUGACGUUAGCGGCGGACGGGUGAGUAACACGUGGAUAACCUACCUAUAAGACUGGGAUAACUUCGGGAAACCGGAGCUAAUACCGGAUAAUAUAUUGAACCGCAUGGUUCAAUAGUGAAAGACGGUUUUGCUGUCACUUAUAGAUGGAUCCGCGCCGCAUUAGCCAGUUGGUAAGGUAACGGCUUACCAAGGCAACGAUGCGUAGCCGACCUGAGAGGGUGAUCGGCCACACUGGAACUGAGACACGGUCCAGACUCCUACGGGAGGCAGCAGUAGGGAAUCUUCCGCAAUGGGCGAAAGCUUGACGGAGCAACGCCGCGUGAGUGAUGAAGGUCUUCGGAUCGUAAAACUCUGUUAUUAGGGAAGAACAAAUGUGUAAGUAACUAUGCACGUCUUGACGGUACCUAAUCAGAAAGCCACGGCUAACUACGU
rnacentral:rRNA from 1 species